rnacentral:rRNA from 1 species
CCUACGGGAGGCAGCAGUGAGGAAUAUUGGUCAAUGGCCGGAAGGCUGAACCAGCCAUGCCGCGUGAAGGUCAGUGCCCUAUGGGCGUUAAACUUCUUUUGUGCGGGAGCAAUAAUGGUCACGUGUGGCCAGACGAGAGUACCGUACGAAUAAGCAUCGGCUAACUUCGUGCCAGCAGCCGCGGUAAUACGGGGGAUGCAAGCGUUAUCCGGAUUUAUUGGGUUUAAAGGGUGCGUAUGCUGUGAGGUAAGUCAGCGGUGAAAUGCCCCCGCUCAACGGGGUGAAGUGCCAUUGAUACUGCCUUGCUGGAAUGCGGAUGCCGUGGGAGGAAUGUGUGGUGUAGCGGUGACAUGCAUAGAUAUCACACAGAACACCGAUUGCGAAGGCAUCUCACGAAUCCGCGAUUGACGCUGAUGCACGAAAGCGUGGGUAUCAAACAGGAUUAGAUACCCCUGUAGUC